AGUGAACGCUGGCGGUAGGCCUAACACAUGCAAGUCGAACGGCAGCACAGUAAGAGCUUGCUCUUACGGGUGGCGAGUGGCGGACGGGUGAGGAAUACAUCGGAAUCUACUUUUUCGUGGGGGAUAACGUAGGGAAACUUACGCUAAUACCGCAUACGACCUACGGGUGAAAGCAUGGGAUCUUCGGACCUUGCGCGAUUGAAUGAGCCGAUGUCGGAUUAGCUAGUUGGCGGGGUAAAGGCCCACCAAGGCGACGAUCCGUAGCUGGUCUGAGAGGAUGAUCAGCCACACUGGAACUGAGACACGGUCCAGACUCCUACGGGAGGCAGCAGUGGGGAAUAUUGGACAAUGGGCGCAAGCCUGAUCCAGCCAUGCCGCGUGGGUGAAGAAGGCCUUCGGGUUGUAAAGCCCUUUUGUUGGGGAAGAAAAGCAGCAGGUUAAUACCCCGCUGUUCUGACGUUACCAAAAGAAUAAGCACCGGCUAACUUCGUG
rnacentral:rRNA from 1 species